rnacentral:rRNA from 1 species
GAUGAACGCUGGCGGCGUGCCUAAUACAUGCAAGUCGAGCGAACAGACGAGGAGCUUGCUCCUCUGACGUUAGCGGCGGACGGGUGAGUAACACGUGGAUAACCUACCUAUAAGACUGGGAUAACUUCGGGAAACCGGAGCUAAUACCGGAGAAUAUAUUGAACCGCAUGGUUCAAUAGUGAAAGACGGUUUUGCUGUCACUUAUAGAGGGAUACGCGCCGCAUUAGCUAGUUGGUAAGGUAACGGCUUACCAAGGCAACGAUGCGUAGCCGACCUGAGAGGGUGAUCGGCCACACUGGAACUGAGACACGGUCCAGACUCCUACGAGAGGCAGCAGUAGGGAAUCGGCCGCAAUGGGCGAAAGCCUGACGGAGCAACGCCGCGUGAGUGAUGAAGGUCUUCGGAUCGUAAAACUCUGUUUUUAGGGAAGAACAAAUGUGUAAGUAACUAUGCACGUCUUGACGGUACCUAAUCAGAAAGCCACGGCUAACUACGUG